rnacentral:rRNA from 1 species
GAUGGGUGAGUAACACGUGGGCAAUCUACCCUUUAGCUUGGGAUACCACUUGGAAACAGGUGCUAAUACCAAAUAAGAAGUAAGAGCGCAUGCUCAAGCUAUGAAAGGCGGCUUUCGAGCUGUCACUAAAGGAUGAGCCCGCGGUGCAUUAGCUAGUUGGUAAGGUAACGGCUUACCAAGGCAAUGAUGCAUAGCCGAGUUGAGAGACUGAUCGGCCACAUUGGGACUGAGACACGGCCCAA